GAGUCUUAGUUUUCCUGCAUAAGACCUCCUUUAUGAAUAGAAUAAAAGACUGUCAAAGUAGGCUGGGCUUGGGCCCAGGCUAAUCUAUGAAGGAAGCAAGCUCGUGUUCCUUACCUAUCCUUUUGGUGUCCAUUGGAUUGUGCCCCGAAGUGGCCUUUACCCUUGAGCCGUCCCCAGCCAUGGUGCUCACACAUAGGCUUUUGAGCUCCUUGGAGCUAUCCAGAUCCUGCUCACUUUUCCUUCCUGAGAUCAGAACAAAUCACCCCCUUACUCCCACUCCAAACAAGGCCUUGAUGAUAAACUAAUCCUUCCUAAAAUGCUGGUAGGUAAACAAGCAAUGAUGAAGCAUUGAACACAGGUUAACUCCUGACUUUUGUACCAUUGUCUAUUCCAUUACACAUUAACAUGACUCUGAAUGCCAGAUCCAAACCUUUGCCCACCAUCUGCUUGUCGUGCAACAGUUGAGGCAGUAACCAGGGGAGAUUCACUUCCUGUCUUGUCCUUCCCCAGGGAUCACCCCCCUGCUGCCCUCUAGCAGCCAAACUCAGAUGAGUUCCAUUGUUACCCUAGGUGUGCCCAUCUCUUUGGUAGGGAAGGAGAAAGGUAAGAAUAGCCAUCAGUGAGGAAGGAUUCUUGGAGCGAGGAGCCACUGUGGUUUUUCCUGCUAUUUAAGAUGUUGAGACCGGAUAACUUUAGAAAGAUACCUGCACAAACCCAUAAAUAGUGCUUUUAUAAAGUUUAGUUCACCGGAACCUGAGUUCAGUAUUUGACAUUAGCUUUUUGUCCAAAGAGUUGAAGCCUGCUGGAGGUCUUUGCUCAAAUAAUAAAUACCACAUAUUUCCAAGUGUGUUCAGGUAUAGGCACUAGGUACUGUCUGUUUACUUCAUGUUAGGCACAUUACAUGCAUUGGCUAAUCAAAUCCUCAUCAAUUACAUAUGUAAUAAUCUAAACUUGCCUCCUUGUAUUAUAAAUGGAAAUAAUCCUGUUUAUUUAAACGGGUUUUCAUGUACCUGUAGGGAUUAGGAAACUCAAAUGGCCUUUUUAAUACCUUUCCCUAGUUUGAGCUCCCUGUUCUCUUUAACAGAUAAAACAACAUAUUUGCUUCAGCCUGGAAUCUGUUUUUGGUGCUUUGGUGCAGAGACAGGAAAUGGGCACUCAGAGUCACACUGGUAGUUGCACACUGUAUCUACAGAGGGCGUGUCUCAUCUGUACUCUGCUGGGUUACAGGAUUUCAGUAGGUAUUUGUGUCCACCUGAGAAUUCUGUUUAUUACCUUUCAUUUGACAGUGUCUUUCCUUUCUGCAGUUGAUUUUGCUAGAGAGGCAAUUCAUAAGGUGAGGUCCUGUUCAUAGUAUGACUUGCUUUCUCAAUAUCUCCUUCAAUUUUUAGUAACUCUUGGUCUAUUUGGUGUCUUUAAAAAAAAUAACCUAGUAAUAAAGACUUCUUUUAAUGUGGAAAUGUGGUCUGGUAGUAAGUUAUUUCUUUCCACAUGUAACUGACCCAAUCUGGUUUCCAAAUGAGAAGUGUGCAGGCCCCAGAGGUUGAGAAGCCAUAUUUCAACUGUGAAAAAAAUCUGCUUCCUGCAUCUGUUGAAAUAUAGUUGUUCAUACUUGCCAUCCCUUAUCUUUCUUGUAACAAUUUGCACAGUUCUUGCCAGAAUAAAUGCCAUUAUCUGUAUGUUUCAGGGAGUUCCCCAAUUUGAUCAUUUUUGUGUGUGUGUGGUGUGUGUGUGAGAGAGAGAGAUACUGCAGUAAAACAUUUCUAAAGGAUGAAAGCUCUUGUAUGGCAUAGAUAUGAAUUCCUUCCUCUGGUAAUAAUUAGGUUAUUCCCAGAAGCACAGUGUCAUUCUUUAAAUAAAAGCUUUCCUGUUUAAAGCUUUUCAAAGGAGCAGACCACCUUGAAGAUUCCCCCUAGGGUUGAUAUGUGUCUAAUUCAUUUUAUAAAAAUUAUUCUUGUCUUCAUUUUAAAGCUUUGGCUAUAUAGUCAGAAAUGUCCUAAAUAACAAACUAUUUUGUAUUUAAUUUAGGGAAGACUAAAGGGAAGAAAAAUGAAAACUCAGUCUUUAUGUAAGCUCCAAGGAUAUUAGGGCUUAAAGGGCUUUUCUAGUUUUAUGAGAAUUUGUACUACUGAUUUUUAUAUAUUCCUGUUUUUGAGAUGAACAGAUCUCUGGGGAAAUUGUUGAGUUACAAUGGCAUUUCACUGUGAUCCCUCUCAAGCUCAGAUCAGUUCUAUAACCCAAUGACAACCUGUCUCUUUGGUUUACUGUCCUGUGAAAUGUCAGCUCAAGUUUCCCAGAAGUCGUGUGUUUAUGAUGAGUCAGAGUGCUUUUCCUCGGUGGGACAGUUGCUGGCCCUCUUAAUUUUGGUGUAUGUGCUUCCAAGUAUCUAAACCUCCAGUCUGAUCUGUAUAUGCUAUCCUAACUGUUAAUUGUAUUAUUGAUUAUGUUGAUUAUCUUGCUUGAAGGUUCAUACUUUUCAAUUUGAUAGAAAUAAAGUUUUUUUCUGCUUAUA
rnacentral:lncRNA from 10 species